UACGUAGGGUGCAAGCGUUGUCCGGAAUUAUUGGGCGUAAAGAGCUCGUAGGCGGUUUGUCGCGUCUGCUGUGAAAACUCGGGGCUUAACUCCGGGCCUGCAGUGGGUACGGGCAGACUAGAGUGCGGUAGGGGAGACUGGAAUUCUUGGUGUAGCAGUGAAAUGCGUAGAUAUCAAGAGGAACACCAGUGGCGAAGGCGAGUCCCUGGACAACACCUGACACUGAGGCACGAAAGCCGGGGGAGCAAACAGG
rnacentral:rRNA from 1 species